CCUACGGGAGGCAGCAGUGAGGAAUAUUGGUCAAUGGCCGGAAGGCUGAACCAGCCAUGCCGCGUGAAGGUCAGUGCCCUAUGGGCGUUAAACUUCUUUUGUGCGGGAGCAAUAAUGGUCACGUGUGGCCAGACGAGAGUACCGUACGAAUAAGCAUCGGCUAACUCCGUGCCAGCAGCCGCGGUAAUACGGGGGAUGCAAGCGUUAUCCGGAUUUAUUGGGUUUAAAGGGUGCGUAGGCGGGGAUGCAAGUUGGAUGUUUAAACUAUCGGCUCAACCGGUAAUUGCAACCAAAACUGCAACUCUUGAGUGAAGUAGAGGCAGGCGGAAUUCCUAGUGUAGCGGUGAAAUGCGUAGAUAUUAGGAGGAACACCAGUGGCGAAGGCGGCCUGCUGGGCUUUAACUGACGCUGAGGCUCGAAAGCGUGGGGAGCAAACAGGAUUAGAUACCCUGGUAGUC
rnacentral:rRNA from 1 species